ACUGAUUUGGAUCCUCACAUUGUUGAAGAGAGGCAUGUCCAUCAGAAUUGGUCAUCAUAUAGUAUUGUUGUUGAAGUGUAUAAUGAUCUCCUAAUUCUGCUCAUUUUACUCAGUAUCAGUUCAUUGAUUUAUGCCAGUGUAAGAAAACAUUACUCAAAAUGACUGGAAUCCAAACCAAAUGAAAUAAGAAAAUUAGAGUUAUGCAAAAUUCUAACUUUGAAAAAGAUCUAUCAAUCAACAUUUAAAAUCUGUUGCUACUAAAUAUCGGGAAUUUAAAAAGGUAACUAUUUCUUAAUUCCUUUUUGAUGAAUAUGAUUCUAAAGAUAUGUAAUAUUCUUUCUUUUAAUCAUUUAAUUUAAUCUCAGGCACUUGAAUUUUCAUCUCUUUAGAAAAUUCUACCUUUUAGAGAAUACUGAGUUGCAAGUCAGGUCAUAUGAGUUUUACUCUUGACUUUGCAAUUAGUUAUUUGGGGGACCUAGGAGCAGUGAGUCGUUUUUUUAUUUUUUAAUCUUGUUUUCUCAUUUACCUACUAAGAGGGUGAAACUGAUCAUCUCUAAAUUCUGUUGCAGAAAGUGAAUGUUAAAUUUUUAGAUUGCUUCUCCAAUAAGAAGCCAUUGGGGUAAACUUUUAACUUCCCUAGGUCUCAGUUUUUCUCAACUGACAAAUGAAAAUAUUAACAUUUGUUCUUCCUAAUCCAUAGAGUUUCUUUAGGAAUCUUAAAAUACUCUAGAAGUGGGAGGCAGAGACAAGAUGGCAGAUUGAAGCCAAGUGCCCUACCUCCUUGCAUCCUUCAGAUUCCAGACAAGAUAUGAAGUACA
rnacentral:lncRNA from 1 species